GUCCCCCUGUGACAAGGCACCUGGGACUUGAGAGGACCCACCAGGAGCAAAGUCCAUUUAGAGCCACGGAAGGUCAAAGAAACACACCUGAGAGUCUGCGGAUAAAGAGCCAGGCUGCCCCACCAGGCUGCUCCAGGGCUGUUGCCGGAGACAGGAGGAAAGCAACUUGCCCAGAUCACCCUCACGUGUGUCUCCCUCCUUACUGUCAUCAAUAACCAUCUGAGAAGCUGCUGCCGGCCCAUGGACUGGAUGCUGCCAGAAGGUCCAUCUCCCCAGGACUGGGCCCUGGUGUGAAGGGCGCUGAAUACCGCCAGCUCAGCAUUCCUGCUGCUAACCUCGAUCUCUCCGCCCACCUGUGUCCCUGGAGUGCCCAGCAGUCUACACUCUUGCAGCAAACUGCUUUGCCGUUUGUCAAGUUCAUCCAUAAGGCUCUUUCACAGACGAGCUUCUGGAUCCCCAGGCUUCAUUCACGAGGCACCAAACUACAGUUGUCGGGAAAUGCCACAGGACAGAGUUUAGAUGAAGAUGCACCAUCCAGUCCUCAAGACUGCAUGAAGCAGCCCGUGGGUUCCUGGAGGUCUUCAAAAUCCCCCUGUUCAGCCCCAACCCAGGCCGACCAGAGGACCCCUCGCAGAGCAGCCCUGGGGUUUUCCCUGUUCAUUCCUUCUCAGAGUUUUUUUAUACUGUCGUCAGAGUAGAGUCUGCACCCUCCAAAUGGGUCAAGGAUUUCCCUGGUGGAAAAAUCCACUGCCCUCCAUCUGUGUGAUGAGCUCUGUCAUUCUGGCUUAGAGGUUCCUGGUGGCGCAGUGGAUUACUGGCUGUGACUCUGGGCAAUUUCCCCCAGCUCACUGUAUCUGUUUCCCUCCAUCUGUGUGAUGAGCUCUGUCAUUCUGGCUUAGAGGUUCCCUGGUGGCGCAGUGGAUAAGAAUCCACUGCCGGUGAAGGGGACGCAGAUUCGAUCCCUGGUCCCACAUGCUGCAACUAAACCCCGGUGCCACACUCACUGAGGCUGUGCUCUAGAGCCCACAAGCCACAACUCCUGCAGCCUGUAUGCUCUAGGGCCUGCGAGCCACAACUCCUGAGCCCGUGUGCAGCAGCUACUGAAGCCUGCUCACCCUGGAGCCUGUGCUCUGCAGUAAGAGAAGCUCCUGCAAAGAGAAGCCUCUGCACCACCACAGAGUGGCCCCCGUUCAUCGCAACUAGAGAAGGCCCCGAACAAAGCAACGAAGACCCAGUGCAGCCAAAAAUAAAGACAUUUUUUAAAAGCCUUUAAAAGAUGGGUCAAGAUACUCAUUGAGAAACCAUCGUGUCAUCCGCGUCAUCCCCACAAGUUCUUCCCAAUCGUGACAACUGCCCAUCACCCUCUCUCUCUCUCCCCCUCAGUCCCUCCAGGAGCUCAGGUAGAUUGAAGAGCAGGCCAGGCAUGAAGAUGGCCCACCAGGAGGCAGGGCUGAGCUUCCUCAUUGGAGCACUCUGGGUGUAAGUCGGGGUUGGCCAUUACUGGCUGUGACUCUGGGCAAUUUCCCCCAGCUCCCUGUACCUGUUUCCCUCCAUCUGUGUGAUGAGCUCUCUCAUUCUGGCUUAGAG